rnacentral:rRNA from 1 species
AGUGAACGCUGGCGGUAGGCCUAACACAUGCAAGUCGAACGGCAGCACAGUAAGAGCUUGCUCUUACGGGUGGCGAGUGGCGGACGGGUGAGGAAUACAUCGGAAUCUACUUUUUCGUGGGGGAUAACGUAGGGAAACUUACGCUAAUACCGCAUACGACCUACGGGUUAAAGCAGGGGAUCUUCGGACCUUGCGCGAUUGAAUUAGCCGAUGUCGGAUUAGCUAGUUGGCUGGGUAAAGGCCCACCAAGGCGACGAUCCGUAGCUGGUCUGAGAGGAUGAUCAGCCACACUGGAACUGAGACACGGUCCAGACUCCUACGGGAGGCAGCAGUGGGGAAUAUUGGACAAUGGGCGAAAGCCUGAUCCAGCAAUACCGCGUGAGUGAAGAAGGCCUUCGGGUUGUAAAGCCCUUUUAUUGGGAAAGAAAAGCAGCAGAUUAAUACCCCGAUGUUCUGACGGUACCCAAAGAAUAAGCACCGGCUAACUUCGUG